GACGAACGCUGGCGGCGUGCUUAACACAUGCAAGUCGAACGGAAAGGCCCUGCUUUUGUGGGGUGCUCGAGUGGCGAACGGGUGAGUAACACGUGAGUAACCUGCCCUUGACUUUGGGAUAACUUCAGGAAACUGGGGCUAAUACCGGAUAGGAGCUCCUGCUGCAUGGUGGGGGUUGGAAAGUUUCGGCGGUUGGGGAUGGACUCGCGGCUUAUCAGCUUGUUGGUGGGGUAGCGGCUUACCAAGGCUUUGACGGGUAGCCGGCCUGAGAGGGUGACCGGCCGCAUUGGGACUGAGAUACGGCCCAGACUCCUACGGGAGGCAGCAGUGGGGAAUAUUGCACAAUGGGCGGAAGCCUGAUGCAGCAACGCCGCGUGCGGGAUGACGGCCUUCGGGUUGUAAACCGCUUUCGCCUGUGACGAAGCGUGAGUGACGGUAAUGGGUAAAGAAGCACCGGCUAACUACGUG
rnacentral:rRNA from 1 species